GGAAGAUAAAGAAUAUGCUGUAAUAUAAAGAUACAGGUUUUGGGGAUAUCUGUUUGGAAAAAACAAGUGAUAAAUAUAUAUGCUACUUUUUACAUCUAUUGGAACAGUUAUAUAUGGACUGUUUAAGAUAAAUAAUUAUGACGAGUUGUCUGCUCUCCUUGCCUAAAAUGAAAUCAACACUAAAUGUUUUUCCAUUUCUUCCCCAGCAAGCGCCUUGUACUGAGCUGUUCUGGAGGACCCCCUUACAGUUUUUGUUUCUUCCUCUUGUGGCAGCCUUUGGGAAUGCUUCACGUCCUACCAUCAAGAAACUUGGAGUGAUAAAAAUGUCCCUGGAAGAAGGAGAUGGCUUUGGUUCAGUUUGCUGCUUCCGGAGAAGAUGCGUGCCCUGGGCUUUUCCACAUCAACCGGCCUCUUUCAACAUCAGACAAGCAGAAGGUUGCCCAAGGUUGGGGCAAGUAGAGCAAAAAGUCCGGUUCUUGAAUACAGAACUAGAAAUGAGGUGACUGAAGGGAAAGGGAAAGCAAGAGC
rnacentral:lncRNA from 1 species